rnacentral:rRNA from 1 species
GACGAACGCUGGCGGCGUGCUUAACACAUGCAAGUCGAGCGGGAAACUUCGGUUUCCAGCGGCGGACGGGUGAGUAACACGUGGGCAACCUGCCUCACAAUGAGGGAUAGCCCUCCGAAAGGAGGAUUAAUACCUCAUAACACAAGAGAAACGCAUGUUUCUCUUGCCAAAGAAUUUCGGUGUGAGAUGGGCCCGCGGCGCAUUAGCUUGUUGGUGGGGUAACGGCUCACCAAGGCUUCGAUGCGUAGCCGACCUGAGAGGGUGAUCGGCCACAUUGGAACUGAGACACGGUCCAGACUCCUACGGGAGGCAGCAGUGGGGAAUAUUGCACAAUGGAGGAAACUCUGAUGCAGCAACGACGCGUGAGUGAUGAAGGUCUUCGGAUUGUAAAGCUCUGUCUUCUGGGACGAUAAUGACGGUACCAGAGGAGGAAGCCACGGCUAACUACGUGCCAGCCGCCGCAGUAA